AACGAACGCUGGCGGCGCGCCUAAUACAUGCAAGUCGAGCGAGAAGACGUAGCAAUACGUUUGUAAAGCGGCGAACGGGUGAGGAAUACAUGGGUAACCUACCCUCGAGUGGGGAAUAACUAGCCGAAAGGUUAGCUAAUACCGCGUACGCUUCUUGGACUUCGGUUCAGGGAGGAAAGCGAUACCGUGGGUAUCGCGCUCUUGGAUGGGCUCAUGUCCUAUCAGCUUGUUGGGAGGUAACGGCUCACCAAGGCUUCGACGGGUAGCUGGUCUGAGAGGACGAUCAGCCACACUGGCACUGCGACACGGGCCAGACUCCUACGGGAGGCAGCAGUAAGGAAUAUUGCGCAAUGGGCGAAAGCCUGACGCAGCGACGCCGCGUGGGGGAUGAAGGUCUUCGGAUUGUAAACCCCUUUCGGGAGGGAAGAUGGAAUGGGGUAACCCAUUCGGACGGUACCUCCAGAAGCAGCCACGGCUAACUUCGUGCCAGCCGCCGCCGU
rnacentral:rRNA from 1 species